rnacentral:rRNA from 1 species
UACGGAGGGUGAAAGCGUUAUUCGGAAUUAUUGGGCGUAAAGGGCGCGUAGGCGGUCUUUUAAGUCAGAUGUGAAAGCCCGGGGCUCAACCCUGGAAGUGCAUUUGAAACUAAUGGACUUGAGUAUGGGAGAGGGAAGUGGAAUUCCUGGUGUAGAGGUGAAAUUCGUAGAUAUCAGGAGGAACACCGGUGGCGAAGGCGACUUCCUGGACCAAUACUGACGCUGAGGCGCGAAGGCGUGGGGAGCAAACAGG